rnacentral:misc_RNA from 1 species
GUUGCCCCAGAAUAGAUGGAUCUGGGAUUUCAUUAGUGCUGCUUGCUCUGCAGCCUCAUUUACUGAAACCUCAAGCUGACCACCUAUUCCUUGAAUUUCACUGUCUGCAUUGCCUGCCUGUUUCUUCCGUCGCUUCAGUAAUUCUUCCCUCUUGCUUGCAGUUGGAUCUUUUAGCUCAUUUGCCCUCUGCUCCUCCAACUUUUCCCA